rnacentral:rRNA from 1 species
GACGAACGCUGGCGGCGUGCCUAAUACAUGCAAGUGGGACGCAAGGAAACACACUGUGCUUGCACACCGUGUUUUCUUGAGUCGCGAACGGGUGAGUAACGCGUAGGUAACCUGCCUGUUAGCGUGGGGUAACUAUUGGAAACGAUAGCUAAUACCGCAUAAUAUUAAUUAUUGCAUGGUAAUUGAUUGAAAGAUGCAAGCGCAUCACUAGUAGAUGGACCUGCGUUGUAUUAGCUAGUUGGUAAGGUAAGAGCGUACCAAGGCGAGGAUACAUAGCCGACCUGGGAGGGUGAUCGGCCACACUGGGACUGGGACACGGCCCAGACGCCUACGGGAGGCAGCAGUAGGGAAUCUUCGGCAAUGGACGAAAGUCUGACCGAGAAACGCCGCGUGAGUGAAGAAGGUUUUCGGAUCGUAAAGCUCUGUUGUAAGUGAAGUACGUGUGUGAGGGUUGAAAGUUCACACAGUGACGGUAGCUUACCAGAAAGGGACGGCUAACUACGUG